UGGGGAAUCAUGGUCAAUGGGCGAAAGCCUGAACCUGCGACGCCGCGUGAGUGAUGAAGGUCGUAAGAUCGUAAAACUCUUUUCAGGGAUCUUAAAGCCUGUCUGUCAACAACAGGCAGGUCUGACUCUCCCUGGAAGAAGCCCCAGCCAACUACGUGCCAGCAGCUGCGGUAAUACGUUGGGGGCGAGCGUUAUUCGGAAUUACUGGGUGUAAAGGGUAUGUAGGCGGCCCUUCAAGUCGCGUGUCAAAGUCCAGUGCUUAACGCUGGGUGUGCACGCGAUACUGACGGGCUUGAGGGCUGGAGAGGUGAGCGGAAUUCCCGGGGUAGUGGUAAAAUACGUAGAGAUCGGGAGGAACACCAGCGGCGCAGGCGGCUCACUAGACAGUUUCUGACGCUAAGAUACGAAAGCGUGGGGAGCAAACA
rnacentral:rRNA from 1 species